GUUCAAAUUGGAUCCUAAUUUUUCUUCUUUUGAAAAAGCGUACGUUGCUUGAAUUUACAUACGAUACGAGUACCUACCUCGUACAUAUACAAGGCUUGCUGAGUAGGCUAAAUUUACAGCCUGAAAAAUCCCAACCACGUCGUGUCACAAUGCAAUCGCAUGUUAAUUGAUGCAAUGCGUCGUAUAUUUGCACGUUGUUUGCGCUUUAUUUGAUCGAAUAUGUGCUUCGAAUGGUAUACAACGUUGUCGUCGUCGUCGUCGUUGUGAAUAAGUAAUCUCUCUUAUCGUGUUGAUAUAGCUACUGUAAUUCGAUGUGAGCAACUGCUAUUAUAUCGAAGCUAGGUAUUGAAUUUUCGUCAAUAUUCAGUUCCGGUUCUGGAUUUUAUUUUUCACUAGAAUUACGUUUUUUUUCGCUUGCUGUUUUGGAGAAAUAGCAUGGUAUUCAAUUGCGGGAAUUUUUCAAGGUGAGGUACCUACUUUUCUCGGUGCCACGAUGAGUCCUGGAUAAUUGGGAUGAAAAUUCUCUGAUGUGCUUCAUUUACUCCAACGACCAGAUGUUCCGGGUAGUUUAUCUCUUUGAUCAUCGGUUUGCUAUUGUCCAGUUUCGAAGAAUACGUUUGCUUGGAGUGGCGUUGGUUGGAGAUAGCGGUUUUACAACGUUUUUCGUCGCUGUAGAGCUUCUUUUUAUCUAGCUAAUCCGUUUUACCUAUUUAUAAGUGUCUAUUUCGAUGUAAUUACAAUCAUUUUAAGAUUUAUUCGAUGUAAUUUUAAUUGUUGACGCUUGAUAAAUGCGCAUACAAUAUGUACAUGCUACUCGACGUAGUA